AUUUACCUAUAAAUAAUAUAUAAUUAUUAAAAUUUACCUAAGUAGAAAUGCUAAAAUAUAUACAAAUUAAAUUACAAUAUCAAGUAUCAAGUGAAUAGACUGAACCAUGUCCAUAACUAGUAAAUAUUAUACUCUAGAGGCCAGGGAUAAGGUUUAUCCGAUGAAGAUGAACAUUAAAUAGACAAUGGCCCAGACGUAAGCGACACAGAACCGUAUAAAAUUUUCUGUUAUGGUGUUGAUUAGAAGAUCAGAUUGUGGAGGCGAAAUCUGUUUAUUAGAAAAAGGUAUAGUUGAAGAGUUGUUUGUGAUGGAUUUGGCAAGGAAAUCAGCUUUUUCGUUACCUAUAACACCAAUAUGUGAAGGUGUCCAAAAAAAUACUAUAUUUUUUGAAAAGGAUAAUUGAAAGUAUUUUUCUCGAAUUUCGUGAAUGAUGUAAUUUGUUUUAGAAUUGAGUCCAGGAUUAUCUAAAGCUUGUAAAACACUCAUGCUAUCAGUGACUAUAACCCAUUUAUUAGAGACUUGCUUUUGGAUAUAAUUCAGAGCUUCUAAUAUUGCCGAAGACUCUGCUGAGAAAAUACUGACUUUUUCAGGAAAUUGGAGUGAACUUAAAAUGGAUGAAAGAAUAUGCAAAUUUACUUUGUUGAAGGCACCAAUUAUGUCAAGGAAAACAGCUACUAAGACUUUGUUGUUCUGAAAAGCAUCAUCAAUAUCCAAAUAUAAAUGGCUAAGACUCUCUCUGGCAGAGCGACCACGGCGAAAUCCAAACUGAUUGCUUGUGGGAAGAUGAUAUCCACCUAAAGGGGAAUCACAGACCUUCCAUUCACAAGAGAAAAGUAAUGAAGAGGAUACCAUUGUCAAAUCAAGACCAUUCGGCCGCCAACUGUUUGAGCCAACUGUAGUGGGACUUCCAUCAUUCAAAAGUGCCAAGUCAUUCUCCUCCAUGACAUCUAAGAUAUCUCUACCAUGAGUGUCUGUGUUUCCACAACCCCAAAGAGUAUUAUGUGCAUUAAAAUCACCAGUUAUUUAUUAUCCUUGGACCAGGAAUGGACUUUAUUAAAUUAUUCAACUUUGAUUUUGUAAAACUAGGAGUGGAAUGUGGAGGACUAUAGAAGCUUACUAUUGAUAUUAAUUUGUGGUUAAUUUGUAUAACAAUAUUUUGUAUUAAAUCAUCAUAUGAAGUAAUUAGAUUUUGAAAAUGAAUACUAUUAUGAACUAUAACAGCCACACCAUUAUGAGCAUUACCACAGUCAUUUCUCACAAUGGUAUAGCCUUUUAUACUAAGUUUCAUAGAAGGUUUUAACCAGGUCUCUGAAAUUAAAGCUAUGUGAAUUUGUUUAUCACUAAGAAAUUUCUCGAUAACAUUCUUACUAUGCAUAAUGUUUUGAGCAUUCCACUGCAUAAUAUUUAGGGUGUUGAAAUUGAAUUUGAAUUGAAAAAAAUGUUUUUCAGUAAAUUCUUAGUCAAUAAAAAAAAAUACUUUGAGAGUCUGAUAUGUUAGGUGUUAUUGUUUUUUAAUGUUGCAUGUAAAAUAUCUGUAAUAUUUUAACUGUUAAUUGCCAUAUUUUCUGUUUUAUUUAAUGAUAUUAUUCUGAUUAACGAUUCUGUUAUCAAAUUAAUUACUUUCUUGUCUGAAAGUAAUUUAGAGAUAUCUAGUGGAUUUUUAUUUAAGCUGGGGAAAUUACUUUCAUUAAAUAAAGAUGAGUAAGGUCUUGA